rnacentral:rRNA from 1 species
GACAGAGGGUGCAAACGUUGCUCGGAAUCACUGGGCGUAAAGGGCGUGUAGGCGGGAAGGAAAGUCAGAUGUGAAAUCCCCAGGCUCAACCUGGGAACUGCAUUUGAAACUCCCUUUCUUGAGUACCGGAGAGGAAAGUGGAAUUCCUGGUGUAGAGGUGAAAUUCGUAGAUAUCAGGAGGAACACCAGUGGCGAAGGCGGCUUUCUGGACCAUGACUGACGCUGAGGCACGGAAAGCGUGGGGAGCAAACGGG